UUAUGGUUUUAAAAAUUUAUUUUAAAUUUAUUUUACAUAUAAAUUUUAGUGUUAUUUUUAAAUUAUUUUAAUAAUAUUUAAAUUUAAAAAGUAGUAAUUAAUAUUAAAUUAUUUAAGAAAUUAAGAUUUAGUAAUAUUUUAAUUAAUAACAAAUUUUGUGCCAGCAGUUGCGGUUAUACAAAAAUUAAAUUAAAUUUUAUUAGUAAUUAAUUAAUAAUAUUUAAAAAUAUAAUAUAAAUUUUAAAUUAUUAGGUAAAAUUUUAAUUUAAUAAAAUUUUAUUUUAGAUUAUUUAUGAUUUAAUAAAUUUUAUAAAAAACUAGGAUUAGAUACCCUAUUAUUAAAAAUUAAAAUUAAUAUACUAAAAUAGUAAAUAAUUAUUUAUUGAAACUUAAAUAAUUUGGCGGUAUUUUAGUUCAUUUAGAGGAAUCUGUUUAAUAAUUGAUAAUCCACGAAUAAAUUUACUUAAUUUAUAAUUUUGUAUAUCGUUGUUAAAAAAAUAUUUUUUAAUAAAUUUAAUAUUUAAAAAUUUUUAUAAAAAAUUAAAUCAGAUCAAGAUGCAGAUUAUAAUUAAGAAUAUAAUGGAUUACAAUAAAUUUAUUUAAAUGAAUAUUAAUUUGUAAUAAUUAAUUGAAAGUGGAUUUAAAUGUAAUUUUAUUUAAUUUAAUAAAAUGAUUAAAAAUUAAAAUAUGUACAUAUUGCCCGUCGCUUUCAUAUAAUAAUAAAUUGGAAUAAGUCGUAACAAAGUAGAGGUACUGGAAAGUGUUUCUAGAAUGAA
rnacentral:ncRNA from 1 species